rnacentral:rRNA from 1 species
GGGUUGUGAGGUUAAGCGACUAAGCGUACACGGUGGAUGCCCUGGCAGUCAGAGGCGAUGAAGGGCGUGCUAAUCUGCGAUAAGCGCCGGUAAGGUGAUAUGAACCGUUAUAACCGGCGAUACCCGAAUGGGGAAACCCAGUGUGACUCGUCACACUAUCAUUAACUGAAUCCAUAGGUUAAUGAGGCGAACCGGGGGAACUGAAACAUCUAAGUACCCCGAGGAAAAGAAAUCAACCGAGAUUCCCCCAGUAGCGGCGAGCGAACGGGGAGGAGCCCAGAGCCUGAAUCAGCAUGUGUGUUAGUGGAAGCGUCUGGAAAGGCGCGCGAUACAGGGUGACAGCCCCGUACACAAAAGCGCAUGUGCUGUGAGCUCGAUGAGUAGGGCGGGACACGUGGUAUCCUGUCUGAAUAUGGGGGGACCAUCCUCCAAGGCUAAAUACUCCUGACUGACCGAUAGUGAACCAGUACCGUGAGGGAAAGGCGAAAAGAACCCCGGCGAGGGGAGUGAAAAAGAACCUGAAACCGUGUACGUACAAGCAGUGGGAGCACCCUUUGGGUGUGACUGCGUACCUUUUGUAUAAUGGGUCAGCGACUUAUAUUCUGUAGCAAGGUUAACCGAAUAGGGGAGCCGGAGGGAAACCGAGUCUUAACCGGGCGUUAAGUUGCAGGGUAUAGACCCGAAACCCGGUGAUCUAGCCAUGGGCAGGUUGAAGGUUGGGUAACACUAACUGGAGGACCGAACCGACUAAUGUUGAAAAAUUAGCGGAUGACCUGUGGCUGGGGGUGAAAGGCCAAUCAAACCGGGAGAUAGCUGGUUCUCCCCGAAAGCUAUUUAGGUAGCGCCUCGUGAAUUCAUCUCCGGGGGUAGAGCACUGUUUCGGCUAGGGGGCCAUCCCGGCUUACCAACCCGAUGCAAACUGCGAAUACCGGAGAAUGUUAUCACGGGAGACACACGGCGGGUGCUAACGUCCGUCGUGAAGAGGGAAACAACCCAGACCGCCAGCUAAGGUCCCAAAGUCAUGGUUAAGUGGGAAACGAUGUGGGAAGGCCCAGACAGCCAGGAUGUUGGCUUAGAAGCAGCCAUCAUUUAAAGAAAGCGUAAUAGCUCACUGGUCGAGUCGGCCUGCGCGGAAGAUGUAACGGGGCUAAACCAUGCACCGAAGCUGCGGCAGCGACAC